GUCUCUUCGGGAACAUGCGAUAAAAUUGGAACGAUAUAGAGAAGAUUAGCAUGACCCCCCUGCGUAAGGAUAACAUGCAUAAAUCGAGAAAUUGUCCAAUUUUUU